rnacentral:rRNA from 1 species
AGAGUUUGAUCAUGGCUCAGGACGAACGCUGGCGGCGUGCUUAACACAUGCAAGUCGAACGGAAAGGCCCCUUCGGGGGUACUCGAGUGGCGAACGGGUGGGUAACACGUGGGUGAUCUGCCCUGCACUUUGGGAUAAGCCUGGGAAACUGGGUCUAAUACCGAAUAGGACCGCAUGCUUCAUGGUGUGUGGUGGAAAGCUUUUGCGGUGUGGGAUGGGCCCGCGGCCUAUCAGCUUGUUGGUGGGGUAAUGGCCUACCAAGGCGACGACGGGUAGCCGGCCUGAGAGGGUGUCCGGCCACACUGGGACUGAGAUACGGCCCAGACUCCUACGGGAGGCAGCAGUGGGGAAUAUUGCACAAUGGGCGCAAGCCUGAUGCAGCGACGCCGCGUGGGGGAUGACGGCCUUCGGGUUGUAAACCUCUUUCAGUAUCGGCGAAGCUCCAGGAUUUUUCUUGGGGUGACGGUAGGUACAGAAGAAGCACCGGCCAACUACGUGCCAGCAGCCGCGGUAAUACGUAGGGUGCGAGCGUUGUCCGGAAUUACUGGGCGUAAAGAGCUCGUAGGUGGUUUGUCACGUUGUCUGUGAAAACUCACAGCUUAACUGUGGGCGUGCGGGCGAUACGGGCAGACUGGAGUACUGUAGGGGAGACUGGAAUUCCUGGUGUAGCGGUGGAAUGCGCAGAUAUCAGGAGGAACACCGGUGGCGAAGGCGGGUCUCUGGGCAGUAACUGACGCUGAGGAGCGAAAGCGUGGGGAGCGAACAGGAUUAGAUACCCUGGUAGUCCAA